AGAGUUUGAUCAUGGCUCAGAAUGAACGUUGGCGGCGUGGAUUAGGCAUGCAAGUCGCACGAGAACUUUUCUUAGCUUGCUUUGAGAAGGGACAGUGGCGAAAGGGAGAGUAACGCGUGGUUAUGUACCCUGGAGACCGGGAUAGUGUCGGGAAACUGGCAGUAAUACCGGAUAACAUCUUAGGAUCAAAUGGUGUGAUUCCGCUCUAGGAUCGGACCGCGUACUAUUAGCUUGUUGGUGAGGUAACGGCUCACCAAGGCUGCGAUGGUUACCGGGUGUGAGAGCAUGGCCCGGCUCACUGGGACUGAGACACUGCCCAGACAUCUACGGAUGGCUGCAGUCGAGAGUCUUCGGCAAUGGACGAAAGUCUGACCGAGCGACGCCGCGUGCGGGAUGAAGGCCCUCGGGUUGUAAACCGCUGUCAGUUAGGAGGAAAUGCAUAGUGGUUAUCCAUUAUGUUUGACCGAUUUUCAGAGGAAGGACGGGCUAAGUUCGUGCCAGCAGCCGCGGUAACACGAACCGUCCAAACGUUAUUCGGUAUCACUGGGCUUAAAGCGUGCGUAGGCGGCUUGGUAGGUGAGAUGUGAAAGCCCACGGCUCAACCGUGGAAUAGCGUCUCAAACCCUCAAGCUUGAGGAAGACAGGGGUGAUGGGAACUUAUGGUGGAGCGGUGAAAUGCGUUGAUAUCAUAGGGAACACCGGUGGCGAAGGCGCAUCACUGGGUCUUUUCUGACGCUGAGGCACGAAAGCUAGGGUAGCGAACGGGAUUAGAUACCCCGGUAGUCCUAGCUGUAAACGAUGAGCACUGGGUUGAGGGGACUUCCACAUCCUCUCGGCCGUAGCGAAAGCGUUAAGUGCUCCGCCUGGGGAGUAUGG
rnacentral:rRNA from 1 species